rnacentral:rRNA from 1 species
GUGCCAGCAGCCGCGGUAAUACGUAGGGGGCGAGCGUUGUUCGGAUUUACUGGGCGUAAAGAGCGCGUAGGUGGUUCGAUAAGUCGGAGGUGAAAUCCCUCGGCUCAACCGAGGACCCGCGUCCGAUACUGUCGAACUUGAGUACAGGAGAGGAGAGCGGAAUUCCCAGUGUAGCGGUGAAAUGCGUAGAUAUUGGGAAGAACACCGGUGGCGAAGGCGGCUCUCUGGACUGUCACUGACACUGAGGCGCGAAAGCUAGGGGAGCAAACGGGAUUAGAUACCCCGGUAGUCCUAGCCGUAAACGAUGGGCACUAGGUGUGGGAGGUAUCGACCCCUUCCGUGCCGCAGCUAACGCAUUAAGUGCCCCGCCUGGGGAGUACGGCCGCAAGGUUGAAACUCAAAUGAAUUGACGGGG